CCGAGGAUUGAUGGCCGUCAAAGCCAAUUAAAUUCAUGGUCAGAGGAGAAUGGGUGGAGAGUUGGUGAGGUGUCCUGGUGUUUGUGUGGGCGGUGCCGUCCUAUGGAAUCUGUGGUGGAGAGCUUGUGCUGUAGGGAAGUGAGUGCGUUUUGGUCGCUGGUCGAGAAGCUCAGCCCAAGACCAGCAGAUGUGACAUGCCUCACUCAGCAUCCAGGAUUUGAUGCAUGCUGCCUGAAUCCGUUUGUGCUUAAGAUAGCGUACACACAUUUCAAGCAGGAUCAUGGUCCCCUUCAAGCCAGCACGCACGAGCAAUACCGGUACACUGCAUACAGGCAGGCUAUACGAUGGGCUUAUGGAGUUCUUGGCCUGCAUAUAAGGAAGCCUCUACCCUCCUGUCUGGUUUCAGCCAUCAGGCAACAAUUUCAGAGUGGUGACCAGACCUAUCAUGGCUUUCAAUGGCCUCGUUUGGAUGAAGAAUAAAAACCAUAUUGGCACGU
rnacentral:lncRNA from 1 species